rnacentral:tRNA from 3 species
AACGAAGCCAAUCGUUGUCCCGCCGCUCAUAACGGUCUGGUUGCAGGUUCGAGUCCUGCCGGGCCCACCA